rnacentral:tRNA from 1 species
GCCACCCUAGCUCAGUUGGUAGAGCAGCUGAUUCGUAAUCAGCAGGUCGGCGGUUCGAGUCCGCCGGGUGGCUCCA